AGUCCCUCACUCCUCAUUUAUGGGGGCCUCAAUUCGCCUCCUCCCGCCACACCUGACUUACAUGUGGGGACCCACUCUCCAGCCUGUGGGCAGGCAUGUACCUGUGUACAUGGUCACAUGCACAUAGCACCCCUUUGUGACCCCUCCUCCUGUUCCCCUGAGCACCUUGCAGGAUGGAAGUCUGGCAGCCUGCAAGGAGAAUCCCACCACUGGUCACGCUGUUCCCCUUUAGAGGAGAAAAUCUGGGGGGCUGGGUGUCGUCAAAUAAAAACCUAGGUUUCCGGACUAGCCCAGGGAUUGACACGACACUCGGUUCGAGGAGCGACGGAAAGGCUUUAUUUACUACAAGUAUUUAAGAUCAAGUCGGGCGAAUCCAAACCAAAUCUAAGUCCAGUAAUUAGCCGUAAGGUGACGAUUUCUCGCCAAACAGGCGACAAAGAGGCGGUCUGUUUCUCUUCACCCUGUAGAGUAAGUUGGGCGUAUUGGCAAGCCAUGUCAGAGAGAUGUUUUUCACUCCUGAAGCGUGUGUGUGCUGUGUGCCGUUUUACUUUUUAUCCCUUUACUUUAGCAUCUUCAAAGCAUUCUUUUAGUUGCGUAAAUCAAGACGGAGUCCCAAACAGUAACUGACAGGAAAAACCUGCCGAUUACCGGUUAUCAGACAUUUCUAAUGCGAACGAGUUAGCUUCUUCGGUGACGAGAGGUUAUUCAUUUUGGAAUGUAUCGAGAAACCGAUUAACCGCUAGGAAAAACAUACUAAAUCAGGAGGAGGCAGCUAUUACAUAUGGAGAAUGUGUUUCGGCAUAUAAACGCGACUUAGUCGGAAAAGAGAUAUUUAUCGUGCUAAUUAAUUGAGGAUAGACGUUUCGUACGGUUACACGCCAGACAACUAAGAGUCUGCGUGAAAUCAUCCUGAAUGUAGCCCGAUAAGAUGGAAGAGACUUCAUAAUUCUUUCUUAGAUGGCCUGGCCAUGACAUUGCGUUGUCUUGCAUUAUGCAGUUAGCAUUAUUAUUCAGUAUGUUAACUUUUGCGAGUAGGGCCAAGCUGUACAUGAUUUUCAGAGUCAUUACUGGGUCGGGGUCCUUAAGGUGACAAACUGGGUUUUACUGCAUUUUUCCCUGGUGAAUGCAAAACCCAGGUCCCUGCCAAUUACCCUUUUUGUACGUGAAGUGAAGAUGCUAUGACACUUGCCAUUGAUGCUCUUGGCAUGUAAAGGAUUAUAACCCUCCACCUUGGAUAAAGCAGCUAGAGACAGGGGUAGAACAUGCACUUUUAUUGAUCACACCUCGAGGCAUAAGAAUAUAAACCCUUUGUGCUAUGCCUACCUAGUGACUUGUCACACCACAAUACAGAUUGCCCAGUCUACCGGCUGGGGGAGAUGCAGGAGGGAGGAGGAGGCUGACAGGAGGUUGUCUCCACUUUUGCAAAGGUCUUUGUAGUUUCCCUUUUGUUUAAACCUAAUUUUAAACCUGCUCGUCUCUUUCCCGGCCUGCCUGGGAAUGCUCCUCCUUGCCUUGUGUUUGUUAGCCUCUGCCAUUUAGACCUAUUUUAACUUGUAACAGGGUCACAAAACCAAAUGCCAGUUGCUGCUCGUAGCUGCUGUUUCCCACCGUUCCAGAAAGCAGCUACUCGCUCUUGGUCUUGUCUGGUAUCAAAGUCUUGAGAAACAGAAUCUUAUUCCACUGUUUUUGGCCAUUCCUUGGGAUGUAAGUGUAGGCUCACGGCCUAUUGCUUGUAUGCCAGCUUAAGCACGUGUCAUUCUUAAGUUAGGCUUCUGGUAGGUGUGUAGUUUGCAAUAUUGAGCGUGGUCUGUCAGGCCCUGACCAUAUUUUCAGUUUGCACCGAGGGGAAUCUGCCCAUAGCCUUCCUUCCCCUUUCUCAUCACCAUCUUCGUAACAUCCCUGCCUCUUUACUUGUCGCUCAUUUCAGGAGCUGUUGUGUGCCAGUGCUUCUGUUCCCUGGUGCUUUCCCCAGGUACCCACCCUGUCUCCUGUAUGUGCUGGAGGACCGGUUUAAGGAGUUGCACGGAGGCCCUCACAGAAGUCCUGUGUGGUCACGGGUUUACAAUGAAGACUUGCAGCUGUGUGUUGCUAUUUCUGGGGUGUGCCGCGUGUGAGCCGCAGCUGUCGGAGGAACGCUUUGGAGAUGUCGCUCACAAAGGGAAGCAAAAUUGUUCUGCUCCCCACUCCUGAGCUUUACAGGGUGAGACCUGUGAGACCUCACCUCCCCUGUCCAAACCUGAGCCAUCUGAGCAGGGGAAGUGGCAUGGCAGGGGGGCCAAGAUACCCGGCUGACAGCCCAGACUGCAAGUUGAAGGCUGCAGUGGAAGCGCUCAGAGUGUGGCCUGUCAGAUUCCAACAAAAUCUGUCAAGUCUCACAUGUAGCUUAUCACAAGGACACGAAAAAGAAAAGGACGUGAGCAGGGGGCCAUGUUAGUGCAUUGGUCAGUGAUUGGGGGUGAGGAGGCUACAUGUCCUUCCUUCACUGCUUGUCUGUUGACUGUCAUUGUUAAAGGGCCAGGGUUGGGGGCAGGGGUAUUCUUGGCUUCUUGGCCAAGUGCCUGGGGGAAGAGGUAGGAGGGAGGGAAGGUUCAGGGGGUCAGAGGUCAAAGCUGGGUGAGGGUUCAGCAACCCCAGACUGCCCAGGUCUCCCCCUGCCUCCCCCAGGGCUGGGCUAGCCGCCGCUGGCAGUGACCCUGCCUGGAGCAGUUGGCAGGCCCUUGUAAGCAGCCUGCACUGCUUGGGAAAUGUGGGCUGUGACACCUUGGUUUUCUGGACUGUGGUAAGAAAGCAAACAGCCUUGUAGUACAGGCUUCAAUUGUGGGACUGCACCCUGUUUUUGAGACACCCCCCCCCCCCCCCCCCAGGAGCUUAUUUCUUGUAUGUCCAUGCAGGAUAGUUUGGGGGAGGGGGGAGGGAAUGGAAGGAAGAGGCAUGGAUGAGACCUGCAUCUUUCAUUCAGCAAAUUUCAGAUCCUGGCUGUUGUGGAGAGACUUUGGGUUGGAGAUGGAUGCAAAGAAGUGGAGGCGUGCCAUGGUGAUGGAGGAUAGAGCAGGAGGAGUAGCGUGAUGGAAGGUGGACUUACCUCAAGCGGGGGUGGUGUUUUGAGUGGGGGUGUCUGGGUGGGCUGGGAAGUCCCUGCUCUGGGUUGGUGUCCUGAGCUGCACGCUCCCAGGGCAGGGCUACUCAAGCGGAGGGCCAUGGCACCCAGGAGUGCCUCUGAGAUGAGUGGUGUAUGGCUGGGCUGGCUUGGCCCAGAGUUGCUCUGAGUCUGUGCAAAGAUCUCCAGGUUGCGGUGGGACAGAGGAUUGGGUCUCUGCCUGGCUGUACCUGUUGCCACAUGCCUCCUUUCAGUGCUGGGAAUUGCAUUUAUGUCUCAUCUCUCUGGGUGUGUCACUGGUGUCUGUCUUUGUACUUCUGUUCUUAAAAAUCACUGCAGCACUUGUUACUUUGUUCUUCCCAGGACUGAAAGGAGGGUUGUGUUUGCAUUUAAAUUGAUCCCCUCACUUGGGAGGGGUGUAGCUGCAACCCCCUGCGGUUUGUUAGUAGGGCCAGUCCAAGCUGCUGUUGUACCCCUGGUUGGGAGGGAGGGGGUGCUGUCCCGUUGGUGCUGUGAGACCUGCGCAUAGCGCCGCAAGUGUUAAUUGCUGUUGUUCAUUUUCGGUGGUGUGGACAUGUUUGGCAAGAUGAUCAAAGUCUGGUCCUGAGUGGAGAAGAGCUGAGGAGCCCUGGAGCUGGUAUGGCGUGGAAGGAGUUGGAGACGGCCCGAAGCCAUGCUCAUGUGAUCACCUGGAGCGAGGUAUUUGCUUCUUGCGGGUUGCAGCUCUGGAUGGAGAGAUCCUGCAGCUGCAGGUGCCUGCAUCGUAUCUGGGAAAGGGAUGGCAAGCAUGAGGACUGACGGCGCACAAGGACUGAAAGCGCAGCUUCAUGCCAGGUGUGGGUCCUGAUGUUCCUGGAAGGAAAGGGUGAGGGCACAGGGACCGGAGCAGAGCAGCGGUAACGGAACCAGAGGAUCAGGAUGCUAGAAGGUGUUUCGUGUUUGGGAUGAGGAGCCACCUUGCCAAGGCUUCAGGCACUGAAGACGAGGUGAAGAGCCGCAGAGAUGGUGGAGGAGGAAAUGGGCAGCUGUCUUGUGACUUCCCAGUUUGUGUGGUGUGAGGCCUCUGCCCCUGUGACGUCACCUGUGUGGAGCCUGCGAAGCCUGUAUGCAUCUUGUGGGGGAAGAGGGACGCAGGGAGUUCUGUGCCAUGCUGGUGGAAGAGGAAGGAAAACAAUGCUUAAAGAGGCGAGCCGAGGUAGAGGUAAAGCGACCUAGAGCCACAACGUUUUGGGAGGUGGAAGACACAGGGGACUGCGCUCCGAUGGUGACUUCUGGGUCACUUGGAAGGAAGGCCUCUGUCCUUUUGCUGGAGUUGUGUGCAUGAGCAGAGCGUGCAGAGGUGCCUGUGUACCCUGUGCAGAGAGGAAGGCAAUCGGGGACGAGGCUGGGCUGGAGAAGGAGCAGAAUUAUGCCAGUUUGGGAUCCUGCCCUGCGUGGAGGGAAAUGAAUGCUGGUUCAGGGAGUGGAGCCAAGCAGUGCCCAUGGAGGCGGAAGCAGGAGGAAUUGAAUGCCGUGAGGUGUGUUGGCGCUGCAUGGGCAGAUCCAGUAGUUGGGUCCUGGCGUGUGUGGAAGGAAAGGGUGAGGACACUGGAGCAGAGCAGUGGUAAUGGAGCCAGAGGAUCAGGAUGCUAGAAGGAGCCAUCUUCUGAAGGCUUGAGGGCUGUGAAGCAGACACUGUGAAGAUGAAGUGAAGAGUCCCAGAGAUGGUGCAUAAGGAAAUGGGCAGCCUUGUCGUGACUUCCUGACUUGCGUGAUGUGAGGCCUCUUCUCCUGUGGCAUGACCUGGCUGGACUCCUGGGGAGGUUUUGUGUGUGUAGCUUUGCAGGCGGUGCAUCUCUGCUCCCACUUCCUGCUGUGAGGACACCUGGAUAAGGAGCAGCAUGAUUGUGGCUGGCUGUGCGGCCUCAAUGUUGUGGGGGAGAGGAAUAGAAGUGAGUUUUCUACGGUGGUGGUAGAAGAUGGAGGAACUGGAUCCUGAAAGUGUGAGCAGAGAAGAGCUGAGGGGAAGAGGUGAAGAGACCUAGAGCCAGUGCUACGUAGAAGCAGGUGGUCAUGCAGCCAUGCUCACUUCUGGGUCACCUAGAGGGAGGCCUCUGCCCGUUUGGUGGACCUGUGUGCAUGAGCAGAGCCUGCAGUGGGAGGUCCCUGCGUCCCCUGUGUGGAGAGGACGGCAAGGAGGGAUGAGAGUGCACUGGAGGAGGAGUGUGAUGCCAGGUCCCAUGAGUACAGUCUCUUGGGGUGAGGCCCUUCUCACAGAUGGAUGGGUGCACCCUGGCCAGGCACGUCUUGGAGAGCUGUGAGCUGGGGCCUGGGGUCCUGACCUGUGCAGAGGGAAAUGACUGCCGGUUGAAGGAGUGAAGCUGAGCAGCGCCCACGGAGGAUGAAGCAGGAGGAACUCAAUGCUGCACGGUGUGUCGGUGCUGGAUGGGCAGGUCUGGCAUUUGGUUUCUGUUUUUCUCCAGCCCAGUCCUGGGUGUUGGGCAUUGACUAGGUAGGGUAGACGGCUGGAGAUCGAUCUGGAUGUUUCUGACUGGGUCCUGGUCCUUGGAGAGAAGUUUGAGCAGAGAAGGGUGGAAGAUGGAGGCAGAGAGGAUGGUGCAAGCAGGGGGUCUUUUUACCAAGACUUUUGGGGCAGGGAGGAGAAGUGGAGAUUGGGCAGAAGAAGAGAAGACAUCUUGAAGUCAUGAACCAUGGAGCUGCCUGUCAUUGGUGCAUGGAACAUGUGAUGGGUGCUUGUGCUGUAGCUCUGUCGUGAGGAGCAGGGCAGGGGCAGUGACAUGCUGAGGGCUGGAGAAGGAGCACCACAAAGAUGGCUGUGAGGCCUUGGUCAGGCGUGAAGUAUGUGAGCCAGGAGAGUCGUACAGCACACACGCAGGAUGGAGUCAUCUGGCUGAGGCUCGAGGCUCCUAAGUGGGCAUCGGGAAGAAGAGGUGGAGAUAUAGCGCCUGUGACCUGAGGAAGCUGGUGAAAGAAACGGAUGUCGGCGCAUUCGCUUUGCGGUUGCCCGGUGUGAGACUUCUGCCCGUGUGGUGGCCCUGGGCUGGAAGCCUUGCUGCGUGAAGCCUGCGAUAGAUGUUGGAUUGCUGCUCCCUGUGUGGUGAGAAGGAUUGGCUGCAAUGACUGGAGGCCUGGAAAAGGAGCCGUGUGGCCAGGGUCCUGGCCUGCAUGGAGGGAAGUAGGUGAGAGGACUGCAUCGUGGAAGAGCCGUGGGACAGUGUUGGAUGACAGACACGGACCGGCCGGAUGUUGCCCGCUACGUUGGAAUGUCCCUUCUGUAUUGGGAUUCUGCGUGGGGGUGUGGGGUGGGUUUGGGAGUGUCCUCAGCUUUAUGAUCCUGGAGCCAGGGGUUUGCAAGUAGUAUGUUUGGGUCAGUUUGUCUGUGCUGUGGGUGGACCUAGGGUGACCAGAGGUGAAAUCCAUUCCUGUGACCCUGUAGUUGGACCAGCACCCAGACACUUGCAGGAACCGCUGGGCAAGCAGGCCCAGAGCUUUCAACUGUUGAGCACGGCAAUGCUGGAGCCAGCUAGCAUGGAAGCAGAAGGGCCGGCCGGGCGCGGGGCCCGGGCUGCCUCUGUGGCUUCUGUGCUAGUGAGGUUGAGAAUUGCAGUGCUGGGGGGUUGGAGGUUUUGGACCUGCUUGUGCAGGGUUCUUGUUGGUGUUGGGGUGCUGGGUCAGAGUAAUGGGUUUUAUUCUGCCUGACUGCCAUGUUUACCGUGUCCUACAGGGCUGGGAGCCUGUCGUAGCAGUGUGUGUUUGGCUGGGGCGGGGUGGUUGUCUGGUUUGGUCCUUGAGCAGUGUGGUGAGCAUGUUUGUUAUUACCCUGAAAUAAAAUAGUUUUCUGAUAGCCUACUGUUAGGCUAACAAUAAUUUAGAUUAUUAAGAAGUAUUAGCUUUGCAGUUGAAUACAAGGCAUGACCUGUGGCCUAGCAAUGCUGCUGACCACAAGGCAGAAUGAUAGCUAAGCCUUUGCUUAUGUUAAGUAAUCAUUUUAACUGUGUUGACUAUUUUCUGAGUAAAAUGCAGCAAGUGAAUCUGUCUGUGUGCUGUAAACCAGAUACAGCAAGGAACAAGGUAAGAGGAAGAAGGCAUUGUUCUAAGUACAGUGAUCGUGUCCUUAAGAAGUAUCUAGUACUGUGCAAGUUUUUGCUAAGAUAUCAUAAUGUUACUGUUACUUAGGUUAGAAAAUAUUGUUGGAAAAUCAAUGUGACCUUUGUAUGACCUUUGGUCAAUGCUGGCUGAUGCAACCUUGCAGUAAGAUUGCCAUGAUCUGUCAAUAUAGGCGGGCAGACAAGGUGAUUGGGCCCAACCGUGCGGGGUGAGCAAAGCCAAGCCAUCUUGGUGAUUUCCUCUGAGUUUUGUGCAUGCGUUAUGAAGGAGCUUAUGUAACCAGAGUUUAUAAAUCUAUGUGUUGAGUUGCAGUCGGGGGUCUCUCUGCCCUUACGAGGACAGGGGACCUUUGGUCGAAUAAACUGAAAAGACCACACCCUCGUCUCCUGCUUAUUGGAGUCUCAGCUGGGAAACGAGCCCUGUUCAGGUUAAGAGAGUCUGCAGGUGUUCCCUUACCAGAUUGGGAGCCUGGUCAGACAAUUUCUCUCACAAUUUGGCGAGCCAGCCAGGAGCACCCUUCUCGUCGCGUCGCCGCUGCCGCCUAAACCCAACCUCCGGCCGGCCGUAACAGAGGUGAGUUCACCACGGGAGUCUUGGGUUAAGGCUGCAGACACGGCGGGACGAUAAGGUGACUCCUUCAAUUUUACUGGCACGGUGUGGUCUUUUAUAUGUUGUGUAUGUCUUGUCUAACGUGUUAUAGGCCAGUCUGUUCUCCGGAUCCUCAAACCUGGGCACACAGGCAAUUUUAGUUAAUUGCCCGUUCGACUCUUUUGAGCCGAUAAAUCUGUGUGGCGCAUUUUAUGUCUCCAUUCGCGCACCGAGGAACCGUCUCUGUUUCUGACCUUUUAACUGGAUAAGUCCUCCAACCUGUUUGAGGCAUCCUAGAAGCCUGCCUUUCCAGGUUGGUUAGGUCUAGGGCAGCCAAGAAAGCAGGGUUUUUGGGGAGCUUAAUAGUAUAUCAGGUCAUCUGGGAAAGGGAUGUCCGCCAAGAAUGACGAUGGGACAGAAACAGUCAAUUCUGGCUAGUAGUCCUCUUGGAGAAUUGUUAAGCAACUGGAAUAAGUUAUCUGGACAUGGCCAAUUGAGUAAGAAGCGCGCUAUAGCCUUAUGUACUAGUGUCUGGCCCGGCUACACUUAUAAAAACCCUGAACUUCAGUGGCCAGUGUUGGGAUCCCUCAGUGUAGAUAAAUGAAGGUACCUCAGGGGGUUCCUAGAGGAACCCCAUCCCCGACUAAUGGAUUAUUGGUAUCUCUGGUGUGAUUUGAUGGAUUUAAUUCUGCAGAGGAAAAAAAAAACUGAUUACUUCUGGCUGCUCAACAACGUCUGUGGUGUCUUCUCCCCCUUAUUCUCCCGCUAUGCCACCAUUGGUGACUAGGGGACCAGCCAUAAUAAACCCGGCCGCUUAGGCCGUGGCCCUUCCGGCACCUUUUACCCCUCCAUCAGGCUCCUCUCCUCCCGUAACAGGAGUGUCAGGGUCUGUACCUGCCUCCUCGGAGCCUACUUUCAGUCCCAUAGCAGGACAUACUAGGUAGCGUUUGAAUCAGGUCAUACACCUGCUCUUGUACACAUGUAAUGACAGCUGCACACCCCCAUCACACAUGCAGUCACGCCUGCUCAGAGUCCCUUACAGACAUGCGCCUGCACAGAACCCCAAAACACACUGCGACAUACACAUGUGCCCCAACAGGUGUCCGUGACACACUUGCACACAAAUGUGCAUCCUCGCACACAUGCACGUGCAGUCUCACACACGUACCCAGAGCCCAGGUGCUUGUGACACGUGCAUGCUCACACACACAUGGAACUCAGGUGUCUGACACAUGCAUAUGUGCUCUCGCGGACACAGUCUAGCACACAUGUACAGAACCCAAGUGUCUGUGGCACACAGGCAAGUAUCCUGACAUAUUCACAUUUACACACACACAACCCCACAUGGGUAGAUAUGAAUCAACCUGCCCCCAAUGAUGUGUGCAAUUAUUGUAAACAAUUGGGGCAUUGGAGACGAGAACGCCCAAACUGCCCUAAGGGACUUCCCCCUUAUGGAGGAAGAAAGGGGGGAACCCAGGGAAACAACCGGGCUGCCAGCACCGAUCCUACAGAUCCCUGGGUCCAGAGUUUGCAACAAGAUAUAGAUGACUCCCAGUGAAAUAAGGGGGCGGCUCGUCCACACGAUGUAUUUAGGGGAACCUUCCUCUUUUGAGUAUACCUGCGCCCCUUCAUCCCCUUAUGUACCACUUCAAAUAGCAGGAAAAUUUAUAAAUGUCUUAUAGAUAGAGGAGCAGAUCUGUCCUCACUGGGAGAAUCUCCAGAAAGGGCGGGAAUUGCAGUCUCAGGAUCUGAAAAGAUUACGAGAGUAAUUGGAAAAUCUAUGCAAGUGCCCCGUGGCACUGAAACACAAGUGCAGAUAGGACCCUUGACCACCAUUCAUGCUUUCCUAUUAGCUGAAGGAACUGUAGUGCACCUCCUUGGAAGAAAUCUACUCUAUAAACUACAGACCAGAAACCCUUCACCCUACUUACUCAUGAGAAUCAAGGCGUUGCUUCAGGUGUCUUAACUCAGCCAUGGGGAUUUUCUAAUCGUCCCAUAGCAUACUAUUCUGCUCAGUUAAAUCCUGUAGCAAGGGCAGCAAUUCUCUGUCUUAGAGCAGUCGCUGCUGCCGCUGUGCUAGUUCAAAAGGCUCAAGAUUUAGUGUUAGGACACUCUCUUGUGCUUGAAAUAUCUCAUUCAGUGGAAGCUCUCCUACUACAGCACAACCUCUGCCAGCAGGGACCAACGCCCAGGCCGCUGAGCUAGCGGCACUCUGACGAGCAUGCAAAUUGGCCACAGCCUCCAGGGUCACUAUCUAUACUGACUCUAAAUAUGCUUUUAGUAUCUGUCAUGCGCUAGGACGGUCCUGGUGACAAAGAGGUUUUAUCACGUCCUCUGAUGCUGUAAUCAGCAAUGCCACGGAAGUCCAAGAACUGCUAGAGGCUGUCGUGUUACCAGGUGAUAUAGCGGUAAUGCACGGUCCCAGACAUUCCAGAGAAGAUACUGACAUCGCUAAAGGAAAGCAUCUCGCAGAUGCUGUAGCUAGAGCUGCUGCACUACAAACUAAAGGAAGUCUCCUUGCAUCUCAAGUUGUUCUUCCACCCUUGUCUGUUAUUUAUGACAAAGUCCCAGCGGAUGAAGUAUCUAUAUGGGUCCAAAAGUGGGAAGCUGCGCAAGGAAAGGAUGCAGUGUGACGUGUGCCAGACGGUAGACCAAUUGCUCCUCGCACCUUGCUCCGAAGUCUGGCUCAGGAUGUCCACAGAUGCUGUCAGUCGGGAAAAGGAGAAAUAGCAGAACAGGUCCUCUCCACCUGGUUUGCUCCAGGUAUACAUCUAGAAGCUGCCCGAAUAACUCUGCAAUGUUCAGAGUGCAGAGCCUUCAACAAAUACAGAGGAGACACAAAAUUACAAGGGGCCCGACCGUGGGCCUAUUUACCCUUUGAAAAACGACAUGGAUUUGCUCAAAGCUGUAAAUUUCAAGCACUGCUUAGUAGUGGUAGAUCAAGUAACAGGAUGGCCAGAAGCUUUCCCCACUCGAGAAGCGGAUUCAGUAGCAGUAGCCAAACCCGUAUUAAAAGAAAUCAUCCCACAUUUCGGCAUUCCAGGAGGAAUAAACUCUGACCGGGGAACUCACUUUACAGAAACUGUUUUAAAAGAAGUUUACAGAGUUUUUGGAAUAAUAACAUACUUCCACGCACCCUAUCGCCCUCCGUCCUCGGGUCAGGUAGAGAGUAUGAAUCGGAGUAUAAAAUCCCUUUUAGGAAAGAUCUGCUCCUAAACCAAAUUGAAAUGGUCAGAUGCCUUACCAAGGGUGCUGUUUGCUAUAAGAACAAAACCCAAAUGGCCUCUCAACCUUGUCCCCCUACGAGUUGUUGUUUGGUCACGCUCCUGUUAUAUAAGAGAUGGGAAAAUCUGCAUGUUAGCUUACUCGGCGGAGAUGAAGCUUUAAUUAGUUAUGUUUUAUCCUUACAGGAGUCUCUCUAGUGUUUACGCAGGUCAGCUGCUUUGGUUCAGCCGGUACCCCUGGACUGUAACCUUCACUCCUAUCAAUCGGGACGCUGAGUUUGGGUAAAACAACAUCGGCGAAAAACCGCCUCAGCCCAAGUCUGGGCAGGUCCGUACCAAGUUCUUCUUACUAUACACGCUGCUGUGAAAAUCGCCGAGAAAGAGGGCCGGAUUCAUCGCAGUCGCCUCAAACCUGGUAUCGGCAAGUAAUGACCGGUCAGCUGCUGUUCCGCCUUUAUGGCUAGAAAGAAUUGGAGAAUCGUGGACCGUUCAGACUCCUUAAUAGAAAUGAUACGUGUAUUAAGCUUGCUUUGUAUUAUCUUUCUUGUUAUACUUUGUGUUUGUAUUUCACUGUGGAUGCAGGGAAGGUUAUAAGUUAAUAAUGGCAUUUCACCGGGCUAUCCUAACAGGAUUAUUGCUCUUGAUGCAUAAAACACCAUGGCUAUUUAUGGGAAAGCGAUACAGAACAGGAAGACCAGUGGAAAGAUAAUACUUACCUGAUUUCCACUAUAGCUAUAGCACAAGUCCUAAAAUUUGUCUAAUGGUUGGAUAUGUGGUACACAGUCUCCUUCUACUAACUUUCCACCCUAUUCUUUAAUCUCUUGGGAAGGGAUUUUUUCUAAUCCAGAGUGGGUUGAUACGGAUAGAGCUGGAAUAAGUACCUGGGAGGACAAUCCUUAUUUUAAAGAGAGAGUACUUUCAGACAUCAUGUUAUCUGCCCAGGUGUGUUGGGAAAAUCCUCAUGGAAUAGGAAAAGAGAUUUUUAGGAUGGCAACCAGGUUGUAAACUAACCAUUAAUGCCACACACUUAAUUUGGCCUAACAAUACUGCAGUGGGGACUAAAGAAGCUGAAAAGAAAGGUUACAUCCCCUGGAAUGUGUCUGCUCCCUGCAGUUCCUUGCAGCGUCCUUAUGUAUGGCAAUGUAUGGAAGGUUCUAUCCGAUGCUCCGCCCCUAAUAAAACUUGGGCUUGGAGUCACGGCUGUUUCACGUCUUGCACAUACAGCUCCUUUGCAAAGCCAAGUUGUUUGUAUGUUAACUAUACCAUUUACAGAGACGGUUCAGUACCUUGCCCCAGAGAUCCUCAUACUACCGCAUCAAUCAACUAGCACAUGCGUUAGAACUUAUUGCCAAUAGCACAGCAGAGGGCAUUGAAUUAGUGCAAGACCAGGCUUCUUGCAACCAUGCUAUGACUUUAGAAAAUCGCUUCGCUUUAGACUAUUUGUUAGCUAGAGAAGGAGGGGUAUGUGCUUUAAUCACAGGAGGACCCUGCUGCACCUAUAUUCCUGACCACUCUGACAACAUAACUGCUGCAGUAAAAACAAUUCGAGACACAGCACGACUUCUUUGCGAAGUUGGUCAGUAAUAGAACGGAUUGCCUCAACUUUAGGAAUGUGGGGAAGGUAUAUCUUAGAAUACAUUUUAUGGGGAUUAGGAAUCUUCUUGGUUAUUAUUGUAAUAAUUGCUGUAAUUACAGCCUGUGUAGUUUGAGUUAAGCAAAAAGUAAUUAAUCUCAAUAUUAUGCAAACCUGGGAAAUGGCCAGCAGGCCAUAGGCCUGUGGCUGUAAGGGGGGAUUGUUAGAAACUAUUGUUGGAAAAUCAGUGUGACCUUUGUAUCACCUUUGGGCAAUGCUAGCUGAUGCAACCUUGCAGUAAGAUUGCCAUGAUCUGUCAAUAUAGGCGGGCAAACAAGGUGAUUGGGCCUAACCAUGCGGGGUGAGCAAAGCCAAGCCAUCUUCUUGAUUUCCUCUGAGUUUUGCACGUGUUAUGAAGGAGCUUAUGUAACGAGAGUUUAUAAAGCUACAUGUUGAGUUGCAGUUGGGGUCUCUGUUCCCUUAUGCGGACAGGGGACCUUCGGCCCAAUAAACUGAAAAGACCACACCCUUGUCUGCUGCUUAUUGGAGUCUCAGCUGGGAAACGAGCCCUGUUUGGGUUAAGAGAGUCUGCAGGUGUUCCCUUACCAGCUUGGGAGUCUGGUCAGACAAUUUGUCUCACAAUUAAUUUGUAGCUUUUAGAAAGUGCUAGUUCAGCUUAAUAGAAAUAUGCUGUUAUGAAGAUUCGUAAAGCACCGCCCAAGUAUUGCUUUUGGUUAACCCUUGUAGUGCGCAAGUUUGUUAUUACCCUGAAAUAGAAUAGUUUUCUGAUAGCAUACUGUUAGGUUAACAAUAAUUUGGAUUAUUAAGAAGUAUUAGCUUUACAGCUGAAUACAAGGCAUGACGUGUGGCCUAGCAAUGCAGCUGACCACAAGGCAGAAUGAUAGCUAGGCCUUUGCUUAUGUCAAGUAAUCAUUUUAACUACACCAAGCAUUUUCUGAGUUAAAAAGUGAAUCUGUGUCUGUGUGCUAAAAAAAAUCAGCUACAGCAAAAAGUAAGAUAAAACAGAGAAACCAUUGUUUGAGCUUACUGGUUGUGUCCUUGAAAAAUAUCUUCUACUGUAUAAGGUUUUGCUAACAUAAUGUUACUGUUACUUAACUUUUAGCUUUAAAAAGUGCUAGUUCAGCUUAAUAAAAAUAUGCUGUUACAAAGAUUUAUAGAACACCGCCCCAAGUAUUGCUUUUUGUUAACCAUAUAGUUUUGCUUUGUUGUAAAAAAUAUAAAAGAUCGCCUCACCCUUGAGGGAGGGCCUUUUUGCCUUUUGCUGGCUUUAUGGUCUUUGCUCGAGCAAAUAAACAGCUGUCUUUCUUUACCCGCGUUGUCUGUCAAUCAAAUUACAGCUAGACAACGGACCUUAGGGAGAUUUCUCCCACCACACCCUGUAGUCUUGCCUUAUUGUAAAAAGUCUAAAAGAACACCCCACCCUUGAGUGGGGGGCAUUUUGGCUUUUUGCUGGCUUAUGGCCAUUGCUCGAGCAAAUAAACGGCAGUAAAUCUUUACCUGCGUUGCUUGGUUUCUAUUGCAGCUAGACAACAAACUCCUGCUGGGAGUUUUCUCCCACCACAGCAGGAAGGAGGAUGUUGAAGGUUUCUGAGCCAUAAGCUCGAGCCCUCUCUUUGGAAGGGGUGUUAGAAAAUAUUGUUAGAAAAUUCAUGUGACCUCUGUAUGACCUUGGAUCAAUGCUGGCUGAUGCAAGCUUGCACUAAGAUUGCUGCUGAUAUGUCAAUCUUGGCGGACAAGCAAGGUGAUUGGGCCCAACCAUGCGGGGUGAGCAAAGUCAUGCCAUUUUAGCAAUUUUCUGGUGGGUUUUGCACAUGUGUUAUGGGAAAGGCUUAUGUAACGAAAGUUCAUAAAUAUGUGUUGAGUUGGAGUCGGGGUCUCUCUGCCCUUACGAGGACAGGGGACCUUCAGCCAAAUAAACUGAAAAGACCACACCCUCGUCUCCUGCUUAUUGGAGUCUCAGCUGGGAUAGGAGCCCCCUUAGGGUUAAGAGAGUCUGCAGGUGUUCCCUUACGAGAUUGGGAGCCUGGCCAGACAAUUUCUCUGAUGGGGAAAGCAGAGCCGUCUGUUACUCAGCUUUGUUUUGUUGUUGCCCAUAGUGGAGGUAUUGCAAAAAUGUAUCAUCUCACUACACCAAAGGCUUCUCAGCUGAAAACUGUAAACUGCAAAUUUGUUGUUUCUUCUCUCUCCCCCAUCACUGCGGGGCCAGGAGGCGGGGGGGGGUCGUGUUAGGGGGAGAGAACAGUCUGAACAAUGCUUGCUUCACGAUAAGGCUGACUCCUGUGGGAACACAGAUUAGUUACUGCCUGCUUUGCACAUAAACUUUGCAGAAAACUGUAGCAAAUGACAGAUUGCCGCAAUGGAAUCUUGUUCAGGAGAGGUAUAAAAAUUUAUCGUCGGGCAUGGCUAGGGGUCAACAUGACUUUGAGCUUUGAGCUCCGUUGUCCAUCUGUUUGCAAACAAACAUACUUGAAAUGGAUCCAGCCUAAGUGUGUAUAACUCUCCCUUGAGGUAUAUGGAAAAAGCCUCCAGAAACACGAAACUAGCUGUUUGUGCAACAGAGGCACAACUGGGAAGCACCCCCCUCCCCCUGUCAGCUUAACCACCCUCUCGUCUGUCCAAGGCCCCUGCCUUGUAGUGCCUCUUGGGCCUGUGUGGUGUUGCUGGUCGUUGUGUUUUUUUUGGGGGGGGGGGAGUGUGAGGGGGGUGCAGCCAAGGUGAUGGCUCCUGUGGAGAAGGGGAGUAGAAGCAGAAGUAGUUAGGAAGAGCCUGGGUGCUGGGCUGAUGUCGUGGGAGAAAACUCCCUGGUGUUCGUUGUCUAGCUGGCUUAGAGACCAGACAACACGGGUGAAGGGGUAACUGCAGUUUAUCUACUAGAGUAAAGACCAUAAAACAGCAAAGAGGUAAAAUGGCCUCGACUUAAGGGUGAGGCUGUCUUAUAUACUUUUUCUAACAAAGCAAGUACAAGGUUAUUGAAUAUGCAAUACUUAUGGUAAUCAUCUCCUUACAUGGUGCAUUACAAAUCUCAGUACUUUUGCAGAGGAAAAAAGUUAGUGUUAUCUUACACAUUCCAAUCUGUUUUCCUGUGUUCUGCUGUACCAUCUUCUUCCCUCUGGGCCUCCCCCCCCCCUUAUCUUAUCUGACUCCUAGCUGUAGCUGGUACCCAGUGCACAGACUUAAGCAUUUUGUUAGAAAAAAGCAGAAAUUAAGGCACUUGACAUAAGAAAAUGACUGGCUUAGAGAUCAUUCUGUCUUGUGGUCAGCAAGAUUGCUAGGCCACAGGUCAUGCCUAGUGUUUAGCUACAAAGCUAAUACUAUUUAAUAAUCUAAAUUACCCUGAAAUAAAAUAGUUUUCUGUAGUAUACUGUUAACAGUAAAGAGAAACCCAUCACUUUGAGUGUGAGGUGGAAGAGGUGCCAGGAGGAUGUGUGGGGUGUGGCUUGUGUGCUCGGUGGGGUGACAGGGAUGCGAAGCUGCCUGCCUGGGGGUGGUGGGAUCGUGCUCUGCUCCGUUGCUUGUUUGCUUUGUUUGGUGAUGUUUGUGUGUGUCCUUGUGUUGUUUGUGUUCUGCCUGCUUGUUGUGAGGUUGGCAAUGUUUUCUUCCUGGUGGUUUGUUUUGUACAUGGCUGUUUGCUCACCUCCUGUCUGCUGAGCUUUUUGUAUGUAACAUGUAGAGGAACUUGUGGGUCAGCCUGGAAAAAUAAAAUAAAGGAGAAAUGGUUCUGGUA